UACGGAGGGUGCGAGCGUUGUCCGGAAUCACUGGGCGUAAAGGGCGCGUAGGCGGCGCGGAUAGUCGGCGGUGAAAGCCCGGAGCUCAACUCCGGGUCGGCCGUCGAUACUUCCGGGCUUGAGCACUGUAGAGGCAGAUGGAAUUCCGGGUGUAGCGGUGGAAUGCGUAGAGAUCCGGAAGAACACCGGUGGCGAAGGCGGUCUGCUGGGCAGUUGCUGACACUGAUGCGCGACAGCGUGGGGAG
rnacentral:rRNA from 1 species